UGUUUUACUUAACUUACUUACUCAGACGUGCAGUUGCCAGGUCUCAUGAUGAUGCUGAGGUCUCAGAGAACUGCCAUGCUUCCCCAGGUCUCUGCACACAGAGGCAAAUCCCAAGCAAGAUCUCUUUAAAAGUUACCAAUGUCUUCAUGAAUCUCAGCUUGAGGGUUUUUUUAAAAAAAGGGUGAAUGUGGAAGAAAGCAAAGUGGACAGAUUAGCCCACACAGGAAAAGAACUUCAGUGCAACGUGUUUGGAUGGAAGCGCCUUGUGUUCUAAGCUGGGGGUUUGGAUGCAGAAGUCUCUAUUGAACAGAAGCGAUUGUGUUCCCUUUGUAAGGAGCUAAGCAAAGCUCAUAGCUAUUGGAGAGUGGCAUCAAUGGGUCCACAAGCAACAAAACAAAGAGACCUUGAAACUAAUUUUCCACAGUGACAUCUGGAGCAUUUCAAGGGAUAACUGACACCAACUUUGUACCAAAUGCAUAUUGGCAAGUUAGAGAACCAUGUAAAGAUUAAAAUCCUCCCGUUAUCUGAUUAUCACAAAUAACUAGAACUGUGACUGAUUCCUUAAGCACCACUUCAUACGGAAAUCAGCUGUCUGAGAUUCCAUCGUGCUCCAUGAUCUUAAACAUUUUUAGUCAGAAGUAAA